UUACCUUUGGCCAGACUUCACCCCAGUCAUGAACCUACCGUGGCAACAAGCCUCUCCCACGGUUGUAUUAACACUUGAAAAUUUCAUUCUUACGGUGCGACGGGCGGUGUGUUCAAGACCCGGGACCAGAGUUCACCGGGUGACACAGCACCGCGAUUCUGACUGCCAGGCCGAGGCAGACUGCGACGAUCGGCUUGAUUAUUCUUCUUCGGGCGACUCUCCAGUCCUGACCAUUGUACGACGUGAGUCUCAUCUAUUCAUGAGGAUUUCGGGAUUAUCCCCAUUCUCUCUCCGGUUUGUCAUUAUUGUGCAAAUUAAUUAUGUGGUUGUGGCCGAUUUUAACCCAACAGACUCAUUCGACACGAGCUGACGACAGCCAUGCGUUUACCUUGCAAUUCCGGUUCUCUGCGAGCAAUCUCUCUUUCGGGAUUCCAGACAUGUCGGGUAGCUACGCCGUGGUCGACCCAUCCACAUCAUCCACUGCUGGGUCCCCGUCAUCUUGCGACUGCAAUUUCAUCCUCGCGUCUCAGCUGUUGCUACUAUGUCUGAUUGACAUAGGCGUGGACUCACUGGUGGCAUCCUGUUUUGCUCCCGCCCUGCAUGAGCGUCAGCGUUAUCCCAUUCGUCGGCAAUUUCUCCGCAUAAGACUUACCGCUACAUGCGGAAUCCACCCUCCCUCUGACACAUUCUGUGGUAGUUAAAAAAAAUGCGGCUCCAAAAAGUUACCUGGGAUUCAUUAAUUUUUCUCUGACCUGUUUAUGCUUUUUUAUUGCCGUAAUCCCGGACUGACGCCGUGCCGGAUGCCGCUGGCCGUGGGUUAGCCGGCGUUUCGGCGGUACGCUAAGGCACGGGCUAUCCUGCGCCGCGCCCCGAAAACAUUUAACAACCCGAAGGUCCUUUCAUCGCACACGCGGGACGGCUGACUCUCCACCGGAAAUUUCACUGUUACCUCCGUAGGGAAGGCUAUGUGGCGUCCUCUCAAAUAGCUACGAUCGCCUUGCGAGUUGUGCCGCCUUCACCAAUCGAUGACGACAUUUCUCGAAGGGCGUAUGCGGGCAUAGCGCUUUUCAGCACCUUCGCGAGCCUGCGGCUGAUUUCACGUGGGCGAUCCCGCCAGCGUUCAAUCUGAGCUUGCGGAUCGGAUCCUGUUACUGGCUCGAUGCUCCCAGGUUCGAUCCUGGCUCAGAUUGAACGCUGGCGGGAUGCUUUACACAUGCAAGUCGAACGGUGGAAAACGCACGGACUUCGGUCUGGUGGCGAGUGGCGAACGGGUGAGUAAUGUAUCGAACGUGCCUAGUAGCGGGGAUAACUACGCGAAAGCGUAGCUAAUACCGCAUAGCCCUUCGGGGGAAAGCGGGGACCUUCGGGCCUCGCACUAUUAGAGCGGCCGAUAUCGGAUUAGCUAGUUGUGGUAACGGCUCACCAAGGCGACGAUCCGUAGCUGGUUUGAGAGGACACCAGCCACACUGGGACUGAGACACGGCCCAGACUCUACGGGAGGCAGCAGUGGGGAAUUUUGGACAAUGGGGAAAUCCCUGAUCCAGCCAUCCCGCGUGUGCGAUGAAGGGCCUUCGGGUUGUAAAGCACUUUUGGCAGGAAAGAAACGGCACGGGAUAAUACCCCGUGCAACUGACGGUACCUGCAGAAUAAGCACCGGCUAACUACGUGCCAGCAGCCGCGGUAAUACGUAGGGUGCAAGCGUUAAUCGGAAUUACUGGGCGUAGCGUGCGCAGGCGGUUCGGAAAGAAAGAUGUGAAAUCCCAGAGCUUAACUUUGGAACUGCAUUUUUAACUACCGAGCUAGAGUGUGUCAGAGGGAGGUGGAAUUCGCGUGUAGCAGUGAAAUCGUGUAGAUAUGCGGAGGAACACCGGAUGGCGAAGGCAGCCUCCUGGGAUAACACUGACGCUCAUGCACGAAAGCGUGGGGAGCAAACAGGAUUAGAUACCCUGGUAGUCCACGCCCUAAACGAUGUCAACUAGCUGUUGGGGCCUUCUGGCCUUGGUAGCGCAGCUAAUGCGUGAAGUUGACCGCCUGGGGGAGUACGGUCGCAAGAUUAAAACUCAAAGGAAUUGACGGGGACCCCGCACAAGCGGUGGAUGAUGUGGAUUAAUUCGAUGCAACGCGAAAAACCUUACCUACCCUUUGACAUGUUCAAAUCCGAAGAGAUUUUGGGAGUGCUCGCAAGAGAACCGGAACACAGGUGCUGCAUGGCUGUCGUCAGCUCGUGUCGUGAGAUGUUGGGUUAAGUCCUGCAACGAGCGCAACCCUUGUCAUUAGUUGCUACGAAAGGGCACCUAAUGAGACUGCCGGUGACAAACCGAGGAAGGUGGGGCUGACGUCAAGUCCUCAUGGCCCUUAUGGGUAGGGCUUCACACGUCAUACAAUGGUCGGGACAGAGGGUCGCCAACCCGCGAGGUAGCCAAUCCCAGAAACCCGAUUGUAGUCCGAUCGCAGUCUGCAACCAUCUGCGUGAAGUCGGAAUCGCUAGGUAAUCGCGGAUCAGCAUGUCGCGGUGAAUACGUUCCCGGGUCUUGUACACACCGCCCGUCACACCAUGGGAGUGGGUUUUACUCAGAAGUAGUUACUCAACCGUAAGGAGGGCGAUUACCACGGUAGGAUUCAUGACUGGGGUGAAGUCGUAACAAGGUAG
rnacentral:misc_RNA from 1 species